rnacentral:sRNA from 1 species
CUCCCAGGAAAGCUCCCGGGGUCGGGUGGGUGCCGCUGUUCCCACUGAAGAUGCGGCCCCCAGUUCACUGCCCACUCGGUGGGGGGGCUUUGAGGGUCAUUGGUUCUGAGGGUCCUCUGCCUGCUCUUUUGCUUCUAAAUCCAGCAUCUUCUGUACGACCUUUGUCCCUCUUCUGCCACCCCGUGAAGACAGACUUGAGGGUCGGGGGAACCACGGUGCUAACCGCCACUCUGGGCAGGCACAGGCGAGGGCUGUGGAGCACCCAGGCACGUGGGGGUCUUUGGAGGGGCUGCUCCCCACACCACUUCCCCUGCCCCCGCAGAGCCCUGCUGUGGGGUGGGGGAUGCAGAGAAAACAGCUGCCCUGUGUGAGAGCCAGGAAGGACACCGGGCAGGCGGAUACCACCCCAGGUGUGGAGACCCCUGCUACUGAGUGACCGGGAGGAGCCCACAGGCUCCCCACAUGCAGCUGAGCCCAGGGUCGUGGUCAUGGGUCGUGGGUCAAGGACGGUGGCUGGUGUGGUUGAGGGAGAGUCUCAAGGCCUGCCUGCUGACCUUGUCACCCAUGUAGGGGUGAGGGGAGCCCACCAGAGGCUAGAGCCCCCACUGCCCCUUCCCACCCUCCAGCCAGGCUCCAGGCCUCCUAGGGCCAGAGUAUCUGAGCUUUCUCUCGCUUGCGGGGCCUGUGGUUUGGGGGUUUGUGUGAAGCCUGGUCCAGGAGCCCUCCUUCCUGAUCUGCACUGGCUGGCCCUCCUGACAACCCCAGGCCCCCGUGCCCUCUGCCAGGAGGCGCCUUGCCACUCGGCAUGGCCCCAGUCACGGGUGGCAUGUGUGGGGUGAAUGCAUGUCAGUGGAGGCAGAAUCAUUCUGUCUGAAUGAAUGGAGUUUCCAGGCCCCCGCUGGCCCUCUGUGUGAGGGUCUGCAGGGUUUGGCAGGACAGGCCUUUCCCUCCAGCGAGAGCACCGACCCUGACUGGCUGCUGGACGAGGGCACCAAAACUGACUAGGGAGGGCUCUGUCCUUAGGGAGGAGCUGCAGAAUCCCUGCAGCUGUGCCCCCAGGCCCUGCCUUGCACAGUUCCUGUAGCCAGAGCGCCCCUGGGGAGGUCAGGGCAGGCCGGGGAGGCUGAGGCCCACCUGCCAUAGUGGGCAGGUACGGGAGCCAGGGGCGGCAGUGGCCUCGGGGCUGGGUGGGGUGCCUGGCCUCUGGUCUCUGGAGCAGUCAGGGGCUCUGCGGACGCUGAGAGGCCUGCUCACAGUGUACUGGGAGAUGCUGGAGCAGCCUCAGAGCCACGGCCGGCCCACAGCGGGAGAUGGCCCUGCUGCUGCCCCUCCACCCGUGCGUGUGGGCCUGUGUGCACCUGCGUGUGCUGGGGCAGGCCGGGCUGUGUUGGGACCAGGUCCCAUAACAGCUUGCCUGCUUACCGUCUGCUCCCAUCUCCGGGGAAAGCAAGGGAGCUCGGGGUCCUAGGACCUGACCUUAGCGCUCACCCCCACCAGCACCGCAGUCACCAGGACUCUGUGACUCAGUUUACCCCACAUGAGAGCCCCUGGGAUUCCCAGGGCAUCAGAAGGCCCAUCAGCCUCCCGUGAACUGCUGGGGUGGGCCUGGCCUUGGGACGCGGGUGCAGGAGCUUCUCCUCACUGCCCCCAUGGCACCCACAGCCAGUGCCCGAGCCUGCUGCAGCCCCAACCCAGCAGAGCAAGUGGCUCUGCUACCUCAGCCACGUAGCUGAUGGCAUCCUUCAGGUUCAGCUCGUGGAAGACAUUCAGGAUCCGGUCUCGAGACUUCUGGGCCGACCGUCUCAUGAGGACCCUGCUGAGGAACUUCCUGUCGAAGUGGGACCACCUGUAGGGACAGAUCUCGGGUGUGAGCCUCAGGUGACAGGUGCCCUAGAGCCCACCGGACAUGUGGCCCGGCCCCUUCUCUCCUGAAUUUCAUUUGCUAUAGCGACUCUGCAGGCAUGUUUAAAAUGAGGGAAGCAGCCCCUGCCGCACGCCCAGGCCGUCCGCCGUUUUCACGCCUGUCCUGUUGGAUGGAGGCUGUUAGAUGCAUUUGAAACUGCAUGCCGCCUCCUCCAGAGGGUGGCUCAGGACAGGGUGGGCAUCAGGCCUGGUCGGGCAAGGGGGCUCCGGCCACGUGGGGGCACUUCCAGCUGCACAGGAGGAAAGGCAGGGGCAGACAGAUGCCCUGAGCCCUUAGACUUGAGGGAGCCAAGCUGACCAGAGUGAGGUUUUUUUAGCCUAACAGAAUUAGAGUAUUCGCUGGUUAUCCGGAUCAGAAGGGACGGUGGCCCGGACGAACUUAGCAGAAACUCUGGGGCACAAGGAGGUGAUGCCUCUCACUCUUGGACAUGGGUGCAGCCGCCAGAGCCGCCCCCCGGGGCAGAGGGUGGGCCCGGGUGAGCUUGUGUACUCAUACCUGGGCAGGCCCCGCGGCAGCAAUGGCAGCUCUCCUGUACAGGCUGAGUUUCAGCCACACCAAGAAGUCAAAGCUAACUGAGGCCGUGCCUUCGGAGACCCCCGGGAUGGCCCCUGGGAGGCCAAGGAGUCGGGGACUGGGUACCUGGAGCAGAGUCGCUGCGGCCACGGAGAACCACAGCUGAGCUUUACGAAGCCACGUAGCCACACCUCCCGGUGCCUCCACCCCAACCAAACACAGAUCGCUCAGAAAAUGGGAACCCAGGGCAAAUUGUAUGUGCUGCUUACUGGGUUUAUUUUAAGUGUCACAUGUUUUUUAUAAUAAAACAUAGGUGAUUUCACCUUAA